GGAUUAGAUACCCUGGUAGUCCACGCCCUAAACGAUGAAUACUAGAUGUAGGAUUUAAUUCUGUAUCGUAGCUAACGCAUUAAGUAUUCCGCCUGGGGAGUACGGUCGCAAGGCUGAAACUCAAAGGAAUUGGCGGGGACUCGCACAAGCGGUGGAGCAUGUGGUUUAAUUCGAUGCUAAGCGAAGAACCUUACCAGGGCUUGACAUGUAAGCAUAAGCUUGCGUGAAAGCGUGGAGUGAAUUUGGGCUUGCCCAAAUUGGUUUACACAGGUGCUGCAUGGCUGUCGUCAGCUCGUGCCG
rnacentral:rRNA from 1 species